rnacentral:rRNA from 1 species
CCUACGGGUGGCUGCAGUGAGGAAUAUUGGUCAAUGGGCACGAGCCUGAACCAGCCAAGUAGCGUGAAGGAUGACUGCCCUACGGGGUGUAAACUUCUUUUAUAAAGGAAUAAAGUGAGGCACGUGUGCCUUUUUGUAUGUACGGUAUGAAUAAGGAGCGGCUAACUCCGUGCCAGCAGCCGCGGUAAUACGGAGGAUCCGAGCGUUAUCCGGAUUUAUUGGGUUUAAAGGGAGCGUAGAUGGGUUGUUAAGUCAGUUGUGAAAGUUUGCGGCUCAACCGUAAAAUUGCACUUGAUACUGGCAGUCUUGAGUCCAGUUGAGGUCGGCGGCAUUCGUUGUGUAGCGG